rnacentral:misc_RNA from 1 species
GAUGAAGAACGUAGUGAAAUGCGACAAGUAAUGUGAAUUGCAGAAUUCCGUGAAUCAUCGAAUCUUUGAACGCACAUUGCGCCCCUUGGUAUUCCGAGGGGCAUGCCUGUUCGAGCGUCAUAUUAACCACUCCCGCUUGCGGGGUCUUGGGCUUCGCCUCCGGGCGGGCCUUAAAAUCAGUGGCGGUGCCGUCGGGCUCUACGCGUAGUAAAUUUUCUCGCGAUAGGGUCCCGGUGGAUGCUUGCCAACAACCCCCAACUUCUUAAGGUUGACCUCGGAUCAGGUAGGGAUACCCGCUGAACUUAAGCAUAUCAAUAAGCGGAGGA